rnacentral:tRNA from 1 species
AUUAAGAUGGCAGAUCAGUGCAUAGGAUUUAAGUUCCUAUUAGAGAAUAAUAUUUAUUCUUCUUAAUA